rnacentral:misc_RNA from 1 species
GAUGAAGAACGCAGCGAAAUGCGAUAAGUAAUGUGAAUUGCAGAAUUCAGUGAAUCAUCGAAUCUUUGAACGCACAUUGCGCCCCUUGGUAUUCCGAGGGGCAUGCCUGUUCGAGCGUCAUUAUAACCCCUCAAGCUCAGCUUGGUGUUGGGGCCUGCUGCACUGGCAGCCCUUAAAAUCAGUGGCGGCGCCAUCUGGCUCUAAGCGUAGUAAUUCUUCUCGCUAUGGAGUCCUGGUGGAUGCUUGCCAUCAACCCCCAAUUUUUCUAUGGUUGACCUCGUAUCAGGUAGGGAUACCCGCUGAACUUAAGCAUAUCAAUAAGCGGAGGA